UUGUCAGAGAGCCAGGUUGGGGAGGAAGGGGUGCAUUUGAGGGAGAAGGACACGUGGGGGUGGCCUUGAGGUCCCCCUGAGGUUCAGAAUCUGGAACUGAAAGUGAGACCAGGCCAGGACACAGCUGCCUGGAGAAGACGACAGGCCAGGUGUAAACAGGGCUCAGGUGCAAGGCUGACCCAGAGCAGAUGAAGUUGACCUCAUGGACUACCUGGGGCUAAGGGACAGGGCUCUCGUUUUGUCUGGGCUCCUCCUGAAGACUACCAUGUGUAUCCUUAUGCUGGCCCUGGGCUCAGAACUGGGGUCAGCAGGGCUCCACCCUCCAAAGACACUGAAAAAGGCUGAGGCUGGAGCGGGCAGAUGGGCCUUGGGUGGCAGCAGGAUCAGCCAAUCAGUCUGACAGGAGUUGAAGUUGGAGCCUGCCAUGCUUGACUGAGAAAUUUCAGCUGGAUGAGGAUGAGCCCUCAACAGGGUUAAAGGAGGUAGAGGAAUCCCUAAGGUCAGGGUAUCAAAGGGAGAAGUGGGUUUAGGGAGGUGGUGAUAUGUGCCAGUUGGGCCCUGGGCACAACUGGAGGUGGAGGCAGAGCUGGAGGCUGAAGAUCAUGGCUAUGGAGCACGUAAAGCAUGGAGAGUAGCCAUCCUUCAAGGAGGGGGAAGGCAUGGUGUUGUGGGAAGGACAGUGAAUACCGAGGUCUUGCAAAUGCACAUGACUGUGUGCAGUGGUCCAAGCCUGUAAUCCCAGUGAUUUGGGAGGCUGAGGCAGGAGGAUCCUAAGUUCGAGGCCAACCUUAGCAACUUAGCAAGACUCUGUCUCAAAAUAAAAAGGGCUGAGGAUGGAGCUCAGUGGCAGAGAACCUCUGGGUUCAACCCCUAGUACCAACCUCUACACCCCUCCAAAAAAUGGACAUGGGAUCAGUGCAGAAAACAGUAGUCAGGGACAGGAGCCAGGAUCUACCAGGAGCAAGUGAGCCUGUGAACACCCCUGGGGGCAUCAGGUGAGAAGCCCCCAGAUGGGGUUUUGCAGGGGUUGCACUGUGGGGCUGCGCUGAGGGAAAGGAUGGGAGGGUCUGGGCCUCACAGUGAGAGCAGCUCCAGGGGGAGAUGCAUGGAUGCAAAUGUCCAGCAGGGGGCGCUGGCACCUUGGAGGAGGAGAGACAGGCGGACCUCCGCGAGUUCCUGGGGAGCGGCGGAGGAGAAUCGCCACCCCUGCAGUACUCAAGGGUGCUCGCGUGACUCAGUUGUCAGAGUUGGCCGCUGCACUUUACAUUUGCAAAGCCCCACCCCAGAGACCAGGCGCCCAAAGUGGCAGGAGUGGGGCCUGGGGCUUGCUCCAUCUGCUGGGUCCUGCCACUGGACGCUACCCGCCUCGCACGAAUCAGAUGCUGAUGGAGAAGCUGGGCCUGUGGAGGAGCAGGGCAUCCUCUCCACGCUGCUCCUCCUGGCUGCUCAGUUGUGGUGAUGAUUUAGGACUUCAACGCUGAAGUGGACUCCACCUGGCCCAGCAGGGCCUGUACCCUGCCACACUUGGCCGUGUCUGCCAGCUCUGCUGUCUGCCAGCUCCACGGAAGGGCUCACACAGGCUGCAGGAGGUGGCGUGGGGGCCAGGGCAGAGAGCACCAAGCCUGACUCACCCAGGAAGGAAGGGGCCAGCCCGUGCCCACAGCCUGCUCUGUAACACCCCACCCCCACCCGCAAGUGUCAGCUUUCUUGCA